rnacentral:rRNA from 1 species
CGACGAUCAGUAGCCGACCUGAGGGGGCGACCGGCCACAUUGGGACUGAGACACGGCCCAGACUCCUACGGGAGGCAGCAGUGGGGGAUAUUGCACAAUGGAGGAAACCCUGAUGCAGCGACGCCGCGUGAGCGAAGAAGUAUUUCGGUAUGUAAAGCUCUAUCAGCAGGGAAGAAACUGACGGUACCUGACUAAGAAGCACCGGCUAAAUAC